ensembl:lncRNA
CUCUUGCCUAGACUAUGGUUGUAGCCUCUGAACACUUAUCUCUCUUUCCACUCUCUUUCCUAUUGAGACAGGGUGACGGAGUGGAGGCAGUUUUCCUUAUCACUGGCUUCAUGUUUCCAUGUGGUGGCACCUUCAUUAGAUGAACAGUCCUGGUUUCUUUCAGUGAUCUGAGAGAAACUCAGGGCAGUCUGAGCUAGAGACAAAGACUUGGGGGACAACAGGAGUUGAAGCCAGUGGAGCGCACACGCACCCAGGAAGGAGGUGCGCCCAGGAAGAAGUACAUGCUGACCGGAGGCAAAAGUGACAGAACGAACCUGAGGAGCAGCACGACUUGUGAGCUGGGAGUUGCAAGUACAGUCUGAAGAACUGUUUUUUCAGAUUCAUUUGAGAAGAAGUUGCCGACAUGGUACUUCAUCACCUUCACAUUCUGUAUUAUUUUCUACAAAAAGAAUAUUCUCUCAUAUAACUACAACAUAACCUCCAAAACAGAAGAACUCAGAUUCUAUCAUUGUGAUCCCCUUUAGACUGACUUCUGUGACAUUUUUUGGACACAUCUCCAGCAUCCUUUGAACAUUUCCUUUCUUUUUUGAGAAACAGAAUGUUCUAGGCUCAACUUAUAGUUUCCCUGUCCCAGUUAUGUACUAUGAACUGAACUGUGUCCCCAAAAUUCAUAUGUUGAAGCCUCAACCAUGAAAGUGACUAUAUUUGGACAUAGGGUCUAUGAGGAAGUAAUUAAGGGUAAAUGAGAUCGUCAAGUGAAAGAGAGUGAAAAAGCUGGCUUAGAGCUCAACAUCCAGAAGACAAAGAUCACGGCAUCUGGUCCCAUCACUUCAUGGCAAAUAGAUGGGGAAACAGUGGAAACAGUGAGAGACUUUAUUUUUGGGGGCUCCAAAAUCACUGCAGAUGGUGACUGCAGCCAUGAA